rnacentral:rRNA from 1 species
UGCAAACUGCGAAUACCGGAGAAUGUUAUCACGGGAGACACACGGCGGGUGCUAACGUCCGUCGUGAAGAGGGAAACAACCCAGACCGCCAGCUAAGGUCCCAAAGUCAUGGUUAAGUGGGAAACGAUGUGGGAAGGCCCAGACAGCCAGGAUGUUGGCUUAGAAGCAGCCAUCAUUUAAAGAAAGCGUAAUAGCUCACUGGUCGAGUCGGCCUGCGCGGAAGAUGUAACGGGGCUAAACCAUGCACCGAAGCUGCGGCAGCGACACUAUGUGUUGUUGGGUAGGGGAGCGUUCUGUAAGCCUGUGAAGGUGUGCUGUGAGGCAUGCUGGAGGUAUCAGAAGUGCGAAUGCUGACAUAAGUAACGAUAAAGCGGGUGAAAAGCCCGCUCGCCGGAAGACCAAGGGUUCCUGUCCAACGUUAAUCGGGGCAGGGUGAGUCGACCCCUAAGGCGAGGCCGAAAGGCGUAGUCGAUGGGAAACAGGUUAAUAUUCCUGUACUUGGUGUUACUGCGAAGGGGGGACGGAGAAGGCUAUGUUGGCCGGGCGACGGUUGUCCCGGUUUAAGCGUGUAGGCUGGUUUUCCAGGCAAAUCCGGAAAACCAAGGCUGAGGCGUGAUGAC